GAGCCAGACUCCUACGGGAGGCAGCAGUGGGGAAUAUUGCACAAUGGGGGAAACCCUGAUGCAGCGACGCCGCGUGAGUGAAGAAGUAUUUCGGUCUGUAAAGCUCUAUCAGCAGGGAAGAAAAUGACGGUACCUGACUAAGAAGCCCCGGCUAACUACGUGCCAGCAGCCGCGGUAAUACGUAGGGGGCAAGCGUUAUCCGGAUUUACUGGGUGUAAAGGGAGCGUAGGCGGCGAUGCAAGUCAGAAGUGAAAGCCCGGGGCUCAACUCCGGGACUGCUUUUGAAACUGUAUGGCUAGAGUGCAGGAGAGGCAAGUGGAAUUCCUAGUGUAGCGGUGAAAUGCGUAGAUAUUAGGAGGAACACCAGUGGCGAAGGCGGCUUGCUGGACUGUAAAUGACGCUGAGGCUCGAAAGCGUGGGGAGCAAACAGGAUUAGAUACCCCGGUAGU
rnacentral:rRNA from 1 species